CCUACGGGAGGCAGCAGUGGGGAAUAUUGGGCAAUGGGCGCAAGCCUGACCCAGCAACGCCGCGUGAAGGAAGAAGGCUCUCGGGGUGUAAACUUCUUUUCUGAGGGACGAAGAAAGUGACGGUACCUCAGGAAUAAGCCACGGCUAACUACGUGCCAGCAGCCGCGGUAAUACGUAGGUGGCAAGCGUUAUCCGGAUUGAUUGGGUGUAAAGGGCGUGUAGGCGGGAAAGCAAGUCAGAUGUGAAAACUCAGGGCUCAACCCUGAGCCUGCAUUUGAAACUGUUGUUCUUGAGUGCUGGAGAGGCAAGCGGAAUGCCGUGUGUAGCGGUGAAAUGCGUAGAUAUACGGAGGAACACCAGUGGCGAAGGCAGAUUGCUGGACAGUAACUGACGCUGAGGCGCGAAAGCGUGGGGAGCAAACAGGAUUAGAUACCCGAGUAGUC
rnacentral:rRNA from 1 species